rnacentral:lncRNA from 1 species
AUGCCCAAGACAAAGAUUGAAGGGGAUGCUAAAGGAGAUAAAGCCAAGGUGAAAGACGAACCACUGAGAAGAUCCGCGAGGUUGUCUACUAAACCUUCCAAAGCCAGAGCCCAAGCCAAAAAAGGCUCUCGAGAAGAAGGGAGAGAAGGUACCCAAUGGAAAAAGGGAAAAGCUGUUGCUGGCAAGGAGGGGAAUAACCCUGCAGAAAAUGGAGAUGCCAAAACAGACCAGGCACAGAAAGCUGAAGGUGCUGGAGAUGCCAAGUGA